UGUCUUUUUUCACAAGUUGUACGUUAGUGCAUCCUAAAAAGAGAUGAGAAAAGGAAAAGCUAUUUGUAGUCUUAGUUGUGUGGAUUAUACCUUGCCUAGGACAGCCACAGAAAGUUGCUAUCAGACGAUGGCAUGGUGGCAGCAUAUCUGACCAAGCUGAUGGGGCCAGGUGAAAAUAGAUGACCACCAAUCUGACCACACAAAUGCAGACAUUUAUCAGAACAAAAAAAAAAAAAAUCAGCCUGACUGCUCAGCACUUUCCCAGGUCAGACAAUCUGAGAACCGCUGAUGCGCUGUCUAGGUGUCAAGUUCUGUAGAAGAAAGCAUUCCAGGGAUUUUCUUGCAGCUGUAGGACCAGUGAAGGGGCUCCACAGCUGGAUCUCUUCAACAGCUCUCACAGUCACAAAGCCCUAAUCUUUGUUCUACAUUCCCAUAUAAAAAGGCAGCAGAGUGUGAGGCUUUUUCAGGUCCUGGGUGUUUCCCCCAUUCUCAGUCAUGCAGAAGGUAGUAGCAAAGAUAAUGAAUGUCAAACCAGGCAUGUGUCUCCCCUGGCUGGUGGAAUAAGAUGAUAAAGAUUCCUUCCUGGGAUGUUACACAGAGUAAUAGUUGUAAUUUUUUCUUAUUUCUGGUCUGGACCUUCCUACUUUGUUUCUUUCUUUCCAUUCCGUGAAGGACUACGGUGCUGAAAGCAAAUGUGAACUAAUGCAGAUGUAAUUUAAGCGCAGACGUAUUGGGGAACCCCAGAAUGUUCAAGUCCACCAAGAAAUGGCUAAUACUUUGCUCAAAUAGCACAGAACCAGAUUUUUUGCAGUGUUGUUGUAGUCGUGUUGGUCCCAGGGUAUUUGAGAGACAAGCUUUCAAGAGCUCUUCUUCUGUCCUGAAGAAAACCUGAAGAGUCUGUUGGCAUUCCGGUGUGAUUCUGGAACAUCGCUGUAUUCCUGGAAGGACAGCAGUGCAGUCUAACUACUGAUUUCCAGAUCGUUAUAAAAAAGUAAAACAUAUCAGAUUCCGUGCCUGUGGAACAGCCAAUAUAAUACGCUGGUAGACAUAAAGAGCUGUCACAUUUGUAAUCUGUAAAGUUGAUAAAUUGUAUA